GGAUAUAUGCCCGAAAGCUAAGGGUUACUUUGAUAGAGUAAUAAAUAAGAGUUCAAACCUCUUUAUAUCCU
rnacentral:tRNA from 1 species